UGGCGGCGCGCUUAAUAACAUGCAAGUCGAACGAGAAGCCAGAGCUUGCUCUGGUGGAAAGUGGCGAACGGGUGAGUAACACGUGAGAAACCUGCCCCAAAGAUUGGGAUAAGCCUUGGAAACGAGGUCUAAUACCAAAUACCUUCUUUUUAACACAUGUUAAAAAGAAGAAAUGCUCGGCGCUUUGGGAUGGUCUCGCGAUCUAUCAGCUUGUUGGUGAGGUAACGGCUCACCAAGGCAUCGACGGAUAGCUGGUCUGAGAGGAUGUCCAGCCACAUUGGAACUGAGACACGGUCCAAACUCCUACGGGAGGCAGCAGUAGGGAAUCUUGCACAAUGAGGGAAACCUUGAUGCAGCGACGCCGCGUGCGGGACGAAGGCCCUAGGGUUGUAAACCGCUUUCAGUAGGGACGAAAGUGACGGUACCUACAGAAGAAGCCCCGGCCAACUAUGUG
rnacentral:rRNA from 1 species